GGCAUAAUAUUAUCAGGUUUCCAUUAUAUAAUUAAAUUCAAAUAUUAACUACCACUACAAAUUAUUAACAAAUAAUAAUUAUCAACUACUAUUACAUUAUGGUGUAGGGUAUUAUGUAAAACCAUAUUUUUUGUUAUGAUUAGUAGAGCACGGAUAAUUGUAGUAAAAAACUAUUGAAAUUGAUUGCAGUAUUGCACUAAAAAUAUUAAAUUUAUACUAAAAACGAACAAUUUUUUUUUACAAAAAUGGAAAUAGUUGGCUUAAUUUUCAGCAUAUUUACAAAACAAUAACAGAAUAAGAUCACUAAAAAAUGCUAAAAUAAUUGUGUAAAUGAGCAAAUUCAAUAAAAUUGCAAAACUUUGCACUUAAAACUCCUAGAUUUGAAUUCGUACUUACAUGAA